AUGGCUCAUUAAAUCAGUUAUCGUUUAUUUGAUAGUACCUUACUACAUGGAUACCUGUGGUAAUUCUAGAGCUAAUACAUGCUAAAAACCCCGACUUCAGGAAGGGGUGUAUUUAUUAGAUAAAAAACCAACGCCCUUCGGGGCUCCUUGGUGAAUCAUAAUAACUUAACGAAUCGCAUGGCCUUGCGCCGGCGAUGGUUCAUUCAAAUUUCUGCCCUAUCAACUUUCGAUGGUAGGAUAGUGGCCUACCAUGGUGGCAACGGGUAACGGGGAAUUAGGGUUCGAUUCCGGAGAGGGAGCCUGAGAAACGGCUACCACAUCCAAGGAAGGCAGCAGGCGCGCAAAUUACCCAAUCCCGAUACGGGGAGGUAGUGACAAUAAAUACUGAUACGGGGCUCUUUCGGGUCUCGUAAUUGGAAUGA
rnacentral:rRNA from 1 species